AUGGCCACCACCGUCAACCCCGCGGAUCCGGAGGCGCUAGAAGGCGGCGACGGCGACAGGAAACCGAUCAGGGGCGCCGCCAUGUCCCUGCUUGUCCGGGCGCGCGACAACAUGGCGUUCCGGUCGGUGUGGUCGGAGCUGAACGGCGCCAUGGGCGACCUGGGCACGUACAUCCCCAUCGUGCUCUCGCUGGCGCUCUCCCGCGGCCUCGACCUCGGCACCACCCUCGUCUUCACCGGCGUCUACAACGCCGUCACGGGCCUCCUCUACGGCGUCCCCAUGCCCGUCCAGCCCAUGAAGACCAUCGCCGCCGUCGCCCUCUCCGACGCCUCCUUCGGGGUCCCCGAGAUGAUGGCCGCCGGCAUCCUCACCUCGGCGUUCGUAUUCGUCCUCGGGGUCACCCGCCUUAUGAAGCUCGUCUACUGGUUCGUGCCGCUCCCCGUCGUCCGCGGCAUCCAGCUCGCCCAGGGGCUCAACUUUGCCAUGGCCGCCGUCAAGUACAUCCGCUACGAGCAGGACCUGGCGAAGAGCAAGUCCCUCGGUCGGCGCCCCUGGGCUGGGCUCGACGGCCUCGCCCUCGCCAUCGCCGCCAUCUUCUUCGUCGUCCUCGUCAACGGCGCUGGCGACGAUCACAGCACCGCCGUCCAAGAAGAAGAAGUGGGACGAGAUCGGGAGGAGGAUAGCUCUUCUUCCCUCUGGCGUAGCUGGAGGAGGCGCUUGCGGUCGGCGACGAUCCCGUCGGCGGUGAUCCUGUUCGUGCUGGGCGUGGUCCUCGCCAUCAUCCGGCACCCGGCGGCGGUGAGGGAGCUGCGCGCGGGGCCGUCGCGGAUGCGCGUGGUGCGCAUACCGAGGGAGGCGUGGAAGCAGGGGCUGAUCAAGGGCGCGAUCCCGCAGAUCCCGCUCUCGGUGCUCAACUCGGUGGUGGCGGUGUGCAAGCUGACGCGCGACCUGUUCCCGGAGAAGAAGGAGGCGUCGGCGACGUCGGUGUCGGUGACCAUGGGCGCCAUGAACCUGGUGGGGUGCUGGUUCGGCGCCAUGCCGUGCUGCCACGGCGCGGGCGGGCUGGCGGGGCAGUACAAGUUCGGCGGGCGCAGCGGCGCGUGCGUGGCUGCGCUGGGCGGGCUGAAGCUGGCGCUGGGGCUGGCGCUCGGCGGCUCCGUGCUGCGCGUGCUCGCCGCGUUCCCCGUGGGGCUGCUGGGCGUGCUGCUGCUGUUCGCCGGCGUGGAGCUGGCCAUCGCGGCCAGGGACAUGUCGUCCAAGGCGGAGGCGUUCGUCAUGCUCGUCUGUACCGCCGUGUCGCUCGUCGGCUCCAGCGCCGCGCUGGGGUUCCUCUGCGGCAUGGUCGCGCACGGCCUGCUGCUGCUCAGGGCACGCGCCAUUUCCAUCUGA
rnacentral:rRNA from 1 species